rnacentral:rRNA from 1 species
CAGUCGCCGCGGUAAUACGUAGGUGGCAAGCGUUGUCCGGAAUUAUUGGGCGUAAAGGGCUCGCAGGCGGUUUCUUAAGUCUGAUGUGAAAGCCCCCGGCUCAACCGGGGAGGGUCAUUGGAAACUGGGAAACUUGAGUGCAGAAGAGGAGAGUAGAAUUCCACGUGUAGCGGUGAAAUGCGUAGAGAUGUGGAGGAACACCAGUGGCGAAGGCGACUCUCUGGUCUGUAACUGACGCUGAGGAGCGAAAGCGUGGGGAGCAAACAGGAUUAGAUACCCCCGUAGUCCCUGUCUCUUAUAC